AGAGUUUGAUCCUGGCUCAGGAUGAACGCUGGCGGCGUGCUUAACACAUGCAAGUCGAACGGGAUCCUGCGGGCUUUGCCUGCGGGUGAGAGUGGCGAACGGGUGAGUAAUGCGUGACCAACCUGCCCCAUGCUCCGGAAUAGCUCCUGGAAACGGGUGGUAAUGCCGGAUGUUCCCGCGCCCCGCAUGGGGUGCGGGGAAAGCUUUUGCGGCGUGGGAUGGGGUCGCGUCCUAUCAGCUUGUUGGCGGGGUGAGGGCCCACCAAGGCUUCGACGGGUAGCCGGCCUGAGAGGGCGACCGGCCACAUUGGGACUGAGAUACGGCCCAGACUCCUACGGGAGGCAGCAGUGGGGAAUAUUGCACAAUGGGCGCAAGCCUGAUGCAGCGACGCCGCGUGCGGGAUGGAGGCCUUCGGGUUGUAAACCGCUUUUGUUUGGGAGCAAGCCCUUCGGGGUGAGUGUACCUUUCGAAUAAGCACCGGCUAACUACGUGCCAGCAGCCGCGGUAA
rnacentral:rRNA from 1 species